rnacentral:lncRNA from 1 species
CGGGUCCUCUGUUCAGGAGACAGAGGCUUUAUGGAGUCGGCACCAGUUACAACAACCACAAAUGGAUAAACCCCGGCCUAUUUCUACAAUUCAUCUUAUUUUAAUCUGUUUUUCAAACCUAACCACACUGCUAGCACUAUGCUUAACCAUAACCUUACAUUAACACAAAAAAGAAGCGAAUUGUUGUUUUAUUAAUAGCGCGUUUACUUUUUGUGGCUGUGGUAACUAACUAGUGACGACCGUAUAGCCACCAAUCACCUCAUUUAAAAGGUGGGAAAAUGGUACUAAUCACACCAUUCAUAUGGUGAACGUGGUAUCCCACAUGACACCUUUUAAUGGUGUGAUUUAGUGGCUAAUCGGGUUCACCAGGUAACAGUAAUAGUUUGUUUUUAACUAAAUCAUCUUGACCUCACAUGCUAACGUUAUUUGACUCAGUGUAUCACGGUCAUGGUGUAGUUUGGAGAACUGUGAUAAUAUUUGAUGGUACCGUUUACUUGGCGUCAAUACGUGAGUUCAUACUGAGCAAUCACCAUCUGCUGAAUGUUUUUUUGGGAUGUUGGAGGGAAAAAAUGAUCUGGAAAAAGCUUGUUGACCUGCGCGCUAAUAUUUGCACAUUGUCUCGCUAUGAAAAGGGGCUGAAGUGGAGAAGUUCACAGAUACUGGCUGACAAGAUUCCAGGAAAUAACUAUGUGAUGAAGGGGUCAGGCCUGACUAACAAAGAAGAUAGAUCAAGACAACCAAGAGGAUCAACAUGGCCUUUCCACAGAGGAGACAAAGGAAAACUAUAUAUAUAUAUAUAUAUAUAAGCAUGGGUUAUUGAAAGAUACCAGCGGG